GAUGAACGCUGACAGAAUGCUUAACACAUGCAUGUCGACUCGAGUCUUCGGACUUGGGUGGCGGACGGGUGAGUAACGCGUAAAGAACUUGCCUCAUAGUCUGGGACAACAUUUGGAAAUGGAUGCUAAUACCGGAUAUUAUACUUUCCUCGCAUGGAGGAAGUAUGAAAGCUAUAUGCGCUAUGAGAGAGCUUGCGUCCCAUUAGCUAGUUGGUGAGGUAACGGCCCACCAAGGCGAUGAUGGGUAGCCGGCCUGAGAGGGUGAACGGCCACAAGGGGACUGAGACACGGCCCUUACUCCUACGGGAGGCAGCAGUGGGGAAUAUUGGACAAUGGACCAAAAGUCUGAUCCAGCAAUUCUGUGUGCACGAUGACGUUUUUCGGAGUGUAAAGUGCUUUCAGUCGGGAAGAAGCAAGUGACGGUACCGACAGAAGAAGCGACGGCUAAAUACGUGCCAGCAGCCGCGGUAAUACGUAUGUCGCAAGCGUUAUCCGGAUUUAUUGGGCGUAAAGCGCGUCUAGGCGGCAAGGAAAGUCUGAUGUGAAAAUGCGGGGCUCAACUCCGUAUUGCGUUGGAAACUGCCUUACUAGAGUACUGGAGAGGUAGGCGGAACUACAAGUGUAGAGGUGAAAUUCGUAGAUAUUUGUAGGAAUGCCGAUGGGGAAGCCAGCCUACUGGACAGAUACUGACGCUAAAGCGCGAAAGCGUGGGUAGCAAACAGG
rnacentral:rRNA from 1 species